AAACCAACUGGGAUUACCUUAGUAACGGCGAGUGAAGCGGUAAAAGCUCAAAUUUGAAAUCUGGUACUUUCAGUGCCCGAGUUGUAAUUUGUAGAAUUUGUCUUUGAUUAGGUCCUUGUCUAUGUUCCUUGGAACAGGACGUCAUAGAGGGUGAGAAUCCCGUUUGGCGAGGAUACCUUUUCUCUGUAAGACUUUUUCGAAGAGUCGAGUUGUUUGGGAAUGCAGCUCAAAGUGGGUGGUAAAUUCCAUCUAAAGCUAAAUAUUGGCGAGAGACCGAUAGCGAACAAGUACAGUGAUGGAAAGAUGAAAAGAACUUUGAAAAGAGAGUGAAAAAGUACGUGAAAUUGUUGAAAGGGAAGGGCAUUUGAUCAGACAUGGUGUUUUUGCAUGCACUCGCCUCUCGUGGGCUUGGGCCUCUCAAAAAUUUCACUGGGCCAACAUCAAUUCUGGCAGUAGGAUAAAUCAUUAAGAAUGUAGCUACCUCGGUAGUGUUAUAGCUUAUUGGAAUACUGCU
rnacentral:rRNA from 1 species